rnacentral:misc_RNA from 1 species
AGCAGCCGCGGUAAUUCCAGCUCCAAUAGCGUAUAUUAAAGUUGUUGCAGUUAAAAAGCUCGUAGUUGAAUUUCGGGGUUAGCAGGUCGGUCGUGCCAUCGGUAUGAACUGGUCUCGCUGAUCCCUCCCUCUUGACGAACUGUGAUGCCAUUAAUUUGGUGUCGCAGGGAAUCAGGACUGUUACUUUGAAAAAUUAGAGUGUUUAAAGCAGGCUCACGCUUGAAUACAUUAGCAUGGAAUAAUGAAAUAGGACGUUUGAUCCUAUUUUGUUGGCUUCUAGGAUUGACGUAAUGAUUAAUAGGGAUAGUUGGGGGCAUUAGUAUUCAAUUGUCAGAGGUGAAAUUCUUGGAUUUAUUGAAGACUAACUACUGCGAAAGCAUUUGCCAAGGAUGUUUUCAUUAAUCAAGAACGAAAGUUAGGGGAUCGAAGACGAUCAGAUACCGUCGUAGUCUUAACCNUAAACUAUGCCGACUAGGGAU